GCUCUGAGGGCACACAGUGUGUUGUAGAUAUGUGGUAGUGGUGGAGUAGGGGCCUGAGGGCACACAGUGUGUUGUAGAUAUGUGGUAAUGGUGGACUAGGGGCCUGAGGGCACACAGUGUGUUGUAGAUAUGUGGUAGUGGUGGACUAGGGGCCUGAGGACACACAGUGUGUUGUAGAUAUGUGGUAGUGGUGGAGUAGGGGCCUGAGGGCACACAGUGUGUUGUAGAUAUGUGGUAAUGGUGGACUAGGGGCCUGAGGGCACACAGUGUGUUGUAGAUGUGUGGUAGUGGUGGAGUAGGGGCCUGAGGACACACAGUGUGUUGUAGAUGUGUGGUAGUGGUGGACUAGGGGCCUGAGGGCACACAGUGUGUUGUAGAUAUGUGGUAGUGGUGCAGUAGGGGCCUGAGGGCACACAGUGUGUUGUAGAUAUGUGGUAGUGGUGGAGUAGGUGCCUGAGGGCACACAGUGUGUUGUAGAUGUGUGGUAGUGGUGGAGUAGGGGCCUGAGGGCACACAGUGUGUUGUAGAUAUGUGGUAGUGGUGCAGUAGGGGCCUGAGGGCACACAGUGUGUUGUAGAUAUGUGGUAGUGGUGCAGUAGGGGCCUGAGGGCACACAGUGUGUUGUAGAUAGGUGGUAGUGGUGCAGUAGGGGCCUGAGGGCACACAGUGUGUUGUAGAUAGGUGGUAGUGGUGUAGUAGGGGCCUGAGGGCACAGUGUGUUGUAGAUAGGUGGUAGUGGUGGUGUAGGGGCUUGAGGGCACAGUGUGUUGUAGAUAGGUGGUAGUGGUGGACUAGGGGCCUGAGGGCACAGUGUGUUGUAGAUAGGUGGUAGUGGUGGUGUAGGGGCCUGAGGGCACACAGUGUGUUGUAGAUGUGUGGUAGUGGUGGAGUAGGGGCCUGAGGGCCACAGUGUGUUGUAGAUAUGUGGUAGUGGUGGACUAGGGGCCUGAGGGCACACAGUGUGUUGUAGAUAUG
ensembl:lncRNA